rnacentral:rRNA from 1 species
GACGAACGCUGGCGGCGUGCUUAACACAUGCAAGUCGAACGGAAAGGCCCUGCUUUUGUGGGGUGCUCGAGUGGCGAACGGGUGAGUAACACGUGAGUAACCUGCCCUUGACUUUGGGAUAACUUCAGGAAACUGGGGCUAAUACCGGAUAGGAGCUCCUGCUGCAUGGUGGGGGUUGGAAAGUUUCGGCGGUUGGGGAUGGACUCGCGGCUUAUCAGCUUGUUGGUGGGGUAGUGGCUUACCAAGGCUUUGACGGGUAGCCGGCCUGAGAGGGUGACCGGCCACAGUGGGAAUGAGCUACGGCACGGACCGACACGGGAGGCAGCAGUGGGGCAGAUUGCAUAAUGGGCUGAAGCUUGACGAAGUCCCGCCGCGGGCGGGAUGAGUGACUUCGGGUAGUAAACAACUUUCGCCUGGGGCGAAGCGUGAGUGACGGUACGGUGUAAAGAAGCACCGGCUAACUACGUG